rnacentral:rRNA from 1 species
GAUAACUAGCUGUCGGGGCUCUUAGAGCUUCGGUGGCGCAGCUAACGCAUUAAGUUAUCCGCCUGGGGAGUACGGCCGCAAGGUUAAAACUCAAAUGAAUUGACGGGGGCCUGCACAAGCGGUGGAGCAUGUGGUUUAAUUCGAAGCAACGCGCAGAACCUUACCAGCGUUUGACAUGUCCGGACGAUUUCGGGAGACCGAUCUCUUCCCUUCGGGGACUGGAACACAGGUGCUGCAUGGCUGUCGUCAG